rfam:Sus scrofa isolate TJ Tabasco breed Duroc chromosome 1, whole genome shotgun sequence.
ACCUGUGUAGCUCAGUCAGGAGAGCAUAAGACUUUGAAUCUGAGGGUCCAGGGUUCAAGUCCCUGUCGAGAUG